rnacentral:rRNA from 1 species
CAGUCGCCGCGGUAAUACAGAGGGUGCGAGCGUUAAUCGGAUUUACUGGGCGUAAAGCGUGCGUAGGCGGCUUCUUAAGUCGGAUGUGAAAUCCCUGAGCUUAACUUAGGAAUUGCAUUCGAUACUGGGAAGCUAGAGUAUGGGAGAGGAUGGUAGAAUUCCAGGUGUAGCGGUGAAAUGCGUAGAGAUCGGAAGGAACAUCUGUGGCGAAGGCGACUAUCUGGGCCAACACUGACACUGAGGCACGAAAGCGUGGGGAGCAAACAGGAUUAGAUACCCGCGUAGUCCCUGUCUCUUAUAC